CGAGCCCGAGCGUACAAGCCCCAAUCCAGCUGCAUCCACGCAUCUCGGCUCCCGUGCACAAUCUCAGGCGUCCAUUUGAAGGAGGUCGCGCUUCAGCGUCCAAACCCCAUCCGUCCGUGUCCCAGCUUCUACCCAGCAUCCACGAGCCUCCCAGAUUCCAUCUCCCGCGAUCACAUCCCAGAUUCUGCGAUCGCGAUUCAGCCAUGCGCCCCUUCCAAAUCAACUUUCGGAUAAGAUAUCCAGCCUGAUCUCCCGCAUCCCCUGUUUCCGCUCAUCCAGAUUUCAUCCGCCUCACGCGUCUCCCAGCCGUCCGCGAAGCAACCCGCGAUCAACGCCCCAUGCUUUCGGACCCGUAUCAGUGCCUCCCAGCAGCGCGCGAUCACCUCCCAGAUCUUAGGAUCCCACGCAUCAUCCGUUACCAUCUCCCGCCUCCCAGCUCGUCCCCCGCACCCGUGAUCAACUCCUUCCCGCGAUGCAUGCCAAGUAAUCCGUGGCCAGCACCCUCUCCGCGUCCAUUCUCAGCAUUAGAUCCGCCCGCGUGCAUAUCCAGCAUCCUCCCAGCGUCCGUGCCCAACUCUUCAUCUUCCACGUUUGCUUCUCCCAAGCGUCCAGGCCUCACCCAUCCGAGCUUCAUUUCCAGCUCAUCCACGCCUAGCAUUCCCAGUUUUCCGUGGCCAAAGAAGGAAACCAGAAGCAGUGUUUCAAUCAUCCGAAUCCCAACAAUUCUGGCUCAACAUUCCAAGUUGAUCCCAAGUUCCCCGCGUCCAUGAUUCACUUCCCGGAUUUCAGCCGUCCAUGAGCAAUCGUCCGCAUUCACAGCAGUGCUCCAGCGUCCCACGCAUCUCGUUCUUCCCUUCAGAGGACCAGGCAUAGAAGGGAUCUUGAUCCCUCUCAAUCGGGCCAUAUUCUCAGCACUCUCCCGGCGUCACAGCAGCACCCGCGUCUGAGAAUCACGGAAUCCGCGUCCCGGUAUCCCACGGCCAGCCGGGAUGCGCAUCCUUAGUUUGGAAUUUUUGGUUUUGAUUUCUGAGGAAGUUUUGUUUCUGGGAGAGGUUUGAUUGUAUAAAAAGGGAAGGAUCUUGUUCGGCUGGGGGAGGUUUUUCUGGUUCCCACAAAAAAAAAACAGUUAGAGGCUCUGCUUUCAAAAAGAAAAAGAAAAGGGAAGAGGAACAGAGGAGAUUUUUCAUGUUGAUGGCCGGCUAAUCCCUUUGGUCAAGGGUGAUGGGAGAACCCUUAACUUGUUACUUUCUUGAAGUCGCAUUUGCAGCUGAACCCAUGUCCACGUCACCCUUUAAGUGCUUAGAGAUCAAGCUUCCAUGUCAUCCCAUUCCUCCCCUGUUUUAAGCUUCCAAACAGAGUCAACCCCAAUCCUCUUUUCAUCACGAAUCAUAGCCACGUUUGUUGAGUCCAGCAUCCACCACCCUAGCUCUUCCGAAGCCCUUGCAUCCCAACUCAUCUCUCAUCCUAUUCUUCGGAUCAAGCCAGUAAACCCGAACUCCCAGCCGAUUCUAGCUCUCUCUUCCAUCCUUAUCCAAUCGCAAGAUCAACUCCCAGCAAAUCUUAGCAUCCGCAUCAAAGGAUCAAGUCUCCCCUAGCCGUGAGCUUCAUCCAAGAUCAUCCCCUGCUCCCAGCCAAAAGAAAUCAAAAAUUCAAACCCAGCCGGUGAGCAUCUCUUCCUUAUCUGAAUCCCCUGCAUCGUGGAUUCUCUUCUUCUUCCGCGAUAAGAUCAACUCCUCCCAGCCAAGAUCCCAACGUCUCUCCCCUGCAUCCAAUAGGUUCAUCUUCAUCUCCAAUUAGAAAUCCUUCAUCCUAAACCACCAAUCUUCAUCCCAACUGCAUUGUCUCCUGUUCCCGCAACCGUACGCGUCUUCCUCAUGUCUGAAUUUCCUCCCAGCUGCAACCAGCCAUCUCCCAACAUCCUAGAUCUCCUCCGCGUCUGAGUAUUCCGUGGACAGUAUCCGGAUUAGUUCCAUCUCUAGCUUUUCCUCCUUCCACAGAUAACUCCCAGCUCAUUCCUCCCAUAUCUUCACCUCUAAUCCUCCUAGCGGAACAGCCUUCCAUUUCUUCCCCUGUUUCGGAAACAGAACAGAGUUCAUCCUCCUUCCCAAGCUUAUCCUCCCAAGAUAGACUGAAUCCAACAUCUACCCAUGGAUAAAGUCCAGCUCAUCUUCUCCACGUCCUCCACGUUGAAGCCCUUACAGAUUCCUCUCAGCCAUGAGCAACAAUCCAGCUCCCCUGUUACGCGUAUCUCCUAGCAUCCCGAGCAUCUCCUAUCAGCCAAGAUACUCUCAACUUCAUGACUUCCUUUUCUUCCGUGAUUCAGCCUCAUCCUCAUCUCCGAAUCUCCCAGCUUCAGCCAUUCAUCCCGCAUCCUAGCUCCCUCCCAGCCGCGUGCGGAUUAGACCCAUGCAUUGAUCUAGCUCUCACAGCAACGAACAGAGCAACCCGUCUCCCUAACAUUUGGAAGAUAGCAACCGUCUGCGAUCCAAGAUUUCCUUCCGGAUCAUCUCCCAUCAUGCGCGGAAGAGAUGAAGCCUCCACGAGCUUAUCCUCCCAUUCGGAUCAGCCACAGAGGAGGAGAGAGGGGGAGAUUCCAGCCUAUAAAAGGAAGAGACUUCUCUUCCUUGCCAACCAUCUCUUCUCAGGAGGCCGAAUCCCAUAGAUAAAAGGAGGGAGAGAAGUUUGGGUAUUGUGGGAAGAACUUCCCACAGAAAAA